CUACAGAGGGUGCGAGCGUUAAUCGGAAUUACUGGGCGUAAAGCGCGCGUAGGCGGCUUAUUAAGUCAGAUGUGAAAUCCCCGGGCUCAACCUGGGAACUGCAUCUGAUACUGGUAAGCUAGAGUUUUGGAGAGGGAAGUAGAAUUUCAGGUGUAGCGGUGAAAUGCAUAGAGAUCUGAAGGAAUACCAGUGGCGAAGGCGACUUCCUGGCCAAAACCUGACGCUGAGGUGCGAAAGCGUGGGUAGCAAACGGGAUUAGAUACCCUAGUAGUCC
rnacentral:rRNA from 1 species